rnacentral:lncRNA from 1 species
AAUAAAGAAAAUGGGAGAAAUUCACAGUACCAAAAUUAUAAAAAUAUGUGUAGAAUUCGUCCUUUCUCCCAAUCCUCAUCAAUUUCCAUAAUCCCUUCUUCUCCCAACAAUUACAAUUCCCUUUACCCUUCUUCUCCUAACACUAGAUUUCAUAACCUUCUUCCCAAUUUGGUCAUUCUCCUCUCUUAUAACGACCCCACGAAGCUGAGAGAAUAAUUGCAAAGAAGAACCCCACGGUUUUAAGAACACCACACCUUGGAGAACGCCACGACUUUGGUAUGGUAACACAAAACCCAAUUUAUGAUUAAUUCUAUUGUUCUGUGUUAAUGACAUGUUGCUCUCUCUCCAUGCAUGCAUCUUCUAUUUAUGUAGUGUUGCUAUCUCUAUGCAUUCAUAUUCUGUUCAUCAUGUUAAGCAUGGUUUAUGUUCGGGGUGUUCAUAAUCAGUUGGGUCGGUUUUCAGGCAAAAAGUCAUCCAAACUAAAAAAAGUAAUAUGCGGUAUGAUUCUAUUUGAUUGAUAUACAUUACGAAAUCUGAUCCAAAAUUUAUCUGUGGAUUCGGUCUGAUUUGUUUUAGUUUUUUAAUAAAAAAAAUAACAAGUCUAACACACUUUUAAAGUGUCAAAUUCACAUAAAAAAAAUAUGUCUAUUUCAAAAUAAUAAAUUUAAUAUCUUCUCAAAGUGUCAAAUUCACAUAAAAAAUCAUUAAGUUACUCCAAGACUCCUAAUACCAAGUGUUAUACAUGCAAACAUUUAAUUGAAUAAUAUUUAUAUGAAUUAAAAAUAAGAAUGACAACAGAAAAAUAAAACACGAGGAAAGCAAGACAAGUAACAUACUAAAAUAAUUUUAACAAUUAAAAUUUUUAAUAAUAAUAAGUAAUAAUACUUUUAACAAAUAUAAAAUAUAAAAACAAUGUACAAUUUAAAUUAUCAAUUGUAAGAUUAAUUAGAUUCAGAAAUGAAACAAUCUUCAUUUUCGUGUAUAAGUAAAUAAUACUAAUUUGCUUCAUUCAAGGACAAAAGGUGAGUUGCACUAUUUGAGUUUGAGUGAAAGUUAGAAAAAUUGCUUAAUUUACUGGGAAUUGAACAAUUAUAAAAUAAGUUGUAGAACUCAUUUAAAGACAAUAAAUAUUUUGUACGGCUGAGAAUGCUCUAAUAGCACAAAUGUUUUGCAAAAUGUUAUGAUGUUUGGGUACACCAUGGGGAGUGGAUACAAAUUUCUUUGGAUAUUGGUGAUGACAUGAUAGAUAAAGAGGACUUAUGUGAGGAUAUUUCUACUUUAUUACGGAACAAGAAAUCUACCUAGAUGUGAAGACUUUUGUACUCUAUCAUUCACAUUGUUGUCGAUGAUAGAUGGUGCUUACCAAAAUUAAGCCAUUAUGGCGUUGUGGAUGGUGUUGCUGGCAAAUAGCGAAUAUCAUCAUGGUGGUUAACAAAAAUUAAGUAAAAACAUAGCAUAAUAGAAAAAUAAAAUAAUAAUACAUAAGACAACAACCAAACACUAAGAAUGUUUAAUAAAAGUUAUUAAGUAUCAAUAUCUCAUAACUUUAUAAGCUCACUAGAAAAUUAAAAUUAGGGAUACUAAAAAAUAAAAUGAACAAUACUAACAAGUCCUAUAAAGACCCACAACUAAAAUCAAAGCGAAACACAUAUAUUAAAGGUAAAAGAUUAAUUAUUCUAAAAGAUUAAAAAAACUGCAAUUCUAGACAAAAAAAGCAGUAAUUUUAGGGAAAAAAAGUAAACUGAAGUUCAUGGAAAAACUAUAGUUCAAAAUAAAAAAGUGGAAUGGAGAAAAAAGAAAUAUGUAUUGACGAACUAGUUUGACAAAUCUACAAAGAAUAAAAGUUUAAGAAAAAUAAUAUAAAAUAUUAGUUUAUAAAAAGUUAAUAGAAAAGGUCUAAUUUGCAAGUAGGGAUUGGCGACGACGACAGACGACAAUAUUAGACAACGACAAUGAUUAAGGUUUUAGAGAAACAACAUUAAGGAGAGAUUAUUCACGAAUAGAAACAUUUAGGGUUUUUAACCCAAAAUUGGGCCAAAAAAACUCAAUCUGGGUUGCUAUCUUUUUCAAAAAACCUACCUAGGAAAUCUCAUUUACAUUGUUUCCACCUUUGCUACCAUGGUGCCUCCACCGCCAUACUGCCAUGGCAGCAUGUAAAUGGCGGACAAAGCCAUUUAGUGGAAAUUUUCAAAUAGCUAAUGGCGAUUGGCUAGAAAUCACUACCGCCAUCCGCCAUAGCGACUAUUUAACAACACCGGCCAUUCAUGAUUUGAAUGUACUUGGUCCAAUGUAUUCAUGGGUGGAGCACUGCCUCAUUCACCACACUCUUAUAAUUUUUGAAAAAAGCAUGACCUGAUAUAAACAUUCUUGAAUUUAUUAACAAGACAAAGAUCAAGAUUAAGGAUUUAGGCUUUGACUAUAAAAAGUUCCAUGCAUGUCCAAAUGAUUGCAUGCUAUUCUAGAAAGAGCAUGAAAAGAAAAAUUCAUGGUGCAUUUAUGAAGUUUCAUAGAGGAGGAAAAUGCUCAAACUGAAGGGUGUGAGUCCAAGAAAUUGAAAGAUGAUAAUAGAGUUCCUGCAAAAAAUUUGAGGCAUUUUGUUAAAGUUGUUAUGAUUUUGUAUGUGAGUUAAUCGAUUAACAGUGUGGUUAAUCGAUUAACUUGUUGGUUAGUUAGUUAUUUUUGGUUAUGGUAGAUAGUUUUUUCCUUCAUUUUAUAUAAAAGAUUCAUUGUGACUUUCUGCUUUCAUCUAUUUAAUACUCAAUUCAAUAUUCAUUUAGUGAAUGAAAAUCAUAUCCUAUUUUUGCUCUUGAUUCUUAACAUGGUAUCAGAGCAAUAAUUAUUCUUUAUGAUGAUUUCUGCUUAUUCCCUUCAUCUUCCUCACUCUGUUGUUGUAAUCUUUCCAUCCCUUCCAAGAUUCGACAAAGAAUCAUCGUCAUGACCUAGUUCGUGUUCUCAUCACUGGUGCUGCAAGGCAAGUUAGCUAUGCUCUUGUCCCGAUGAUUGUUGCAUCUGCUUUCUUUUGUGCCUCUUCAAGGUCCUUCUCUUUCUGCUUGCAUAUUUUGUCAAUCUCAUGAGCCAUCUGCUCUGUUUCAUUGAGAAUUCUUUGAACUUUGGCUAUCCUCUCGUCAAAUAAUUAAAUUAGAGAAGGAGAAACAAAACGUUGAUGAAAACAAAAAUCAUCUUAAAAGGCAAAGUUUCAUGUUAUACAAGCAGAUAUAUACAUGUUCAAUAAGGAGGAGGCCAAACAAAUGGAAUUCUAGAAGUAUAUUAGAUUAUGCUACGAGUCAUUGCUCAAAGUGGGGCUUCUUUCUUGGUAGAAUGUCACCUGGAGUUGUGACAUUGUAGUUUACAAAAGGUGGAACCAUUUACAAUUACAAGUAUAAAAAAUUCUCGUAUCAAUCUUCUCUAUGAUCUUUCAAAGUAUCGUCUCUGCAGCUUUGAUGGUAGGAUAUUACCACGACCCUGUGAUGGAAAUCUAAGGUUAAUGUAAUCAAGUAUCAACUUCUUGCAAUGACUGAUUGACUUCUUGAAUUAACAAGUUGGCUUCUGGAAUUAACAAGUUAGGAACUAGCUCUUCUGUCUGUUGUUACCUUAAUGGGGAGACCACUUUGUCCUUUUGAUGUUUCAGAACCUCUAUCAUUUUCCUUUGUGUUGCUGAUACAUGCCUUGCUUACCCUCCUUAGUACUGUCGGUGCUUGGAAGAUGUGAAUCUGGUCAACACAAUAGCAACAAGGAACUCAAUGACCCUUACAUCAAUGAUUACUCAUUUGGCUUCAACAACGAUGAUGAACCUAAGAAGAACUAUAUAGAAGAUGGUAACAUGGAAGAUUAUUCACUUUGAGGUCGAUGUAGAAAUAAAGGUCAGCCAUGAAAUGUUUAUUUCCACAAGUUAACUAGUAAGACAUUCUUUCACCACUAAGUCAGCCAUGAAAUGUUUAUUUCCACAAGUUAACUAGUAAGACAUUCUUUCACCACUAGUUCCUUCACAAACCCUCCAAGUUUACCUCAAUAUAAUGAUGGCGAACAAUAAAUUCUCUAAUUUUUUUCCUUUCUCAUUAAACAUACAACAUUACUAUAGUGUAUAUUUUACAUCAAUGAAUCUAUAUAUUAGGAUCAAGACUCGACCCAUUUCUCUUUCUUUUAUCCAUUAUGAAUGGUUUGGUUCUAUCAAGUAGAUGGUUAAACAUUGGAUGGUUAAGCUUCAACCAAGUAGAUGGUUAAACAUUUGAUGGUUAAACUUCUGUCAAAAUAGAUGGUUAAGCUUUGGAUGAAGUUGCUUCUGCCCAUGGUGGUUAAGCCAGUAUUGCUUCACACUCAGAUUUCAAGACUUGGAGAUGAAAAUUCGCUCACGAGCAAGAGAAAAUUUUAGAGUAUAAUCAUUAUGAUUCAACAGAAUUAUUUCAAGCUUGAAAUGUUAGAUAUAUUCCAGCUUGCAGGGAUGUUAAAGUUGUUGUGAUUCUGUAUGUGAGUUAAUCAAUUAACAAUGUAAUUAGUCGAUUAACUAGUUGGUUAGUUAGUUUUGAUUAGGGUAGUUAGUUUUGUUUCCUUCCUUUUAUAUAAAAGAUUCAUUAUGACUUUGUAUUUUCAUCCAUUCAAUACUGAAUUCAAUAUCAUUUAAUGAAUGCAAUUCAUAUUCUAUUUCUUCUUUUUUCCACUAAUUCCUAGACUACAAAGGUUUUUCAUGUUUUCAAUAACUACCGAGUCAAUGGAAUUGCAUGAGGAAGAACACUGAAGGGAUGAAAAGAUAAAAGAUCAUGUUGGUGCCCAUUAUGAUUUGCAAAGAUAUGAGAAUUAUAAAAAAAAAACCUUCUUCCAAAGAGAUUCUUGGAGGAUGUUUUGAAUUGGAAAAACAUGUUUCUCAAUGACUCCUAACGGGAAGUCUAUUUUUUUGUAGUUAUCAUGGGUGCCAAAUUACCAAAUGGUAGUGCAUCAAAUAUUUAAAAAUGCGUAAAAGUUGGUGAUAAAAAAAUAUAUGUAUAAAACAAAAUUAUAGUGUAACUUUAGUUUCAUUGACUGCAAGGAUGAAAAUCCUAUGAUAGAACAAGUGAUGGCAAAAAGAAGAAUGCUUAUGGAUCUAAUCUUAAAGUCUAUUUUUUGUGUGGAAAAGACAUAUAAAUUUUGUCUAUUUGCCUAUCAAACUUGUGGUGUUUCUAUUAGACAAUGGGACAUCACAUGGGUAAUGUAAGAAAAGAAAGAUGAAAAAUUAAAAUAAAUUAUAUUUGAUUUAAUGCCUAAAUUUUUUUAUGAUGUAAUAUGAUUUGUUCAACUUUAAUUUCUAUAAAAGAUCAACAAUUUUCAAAAAUAUUAUCAUCAAUUAUGUUUUUGGGUAUUAAUUGUGUUAUUUUUUAAUUAAUUAUCAAUACUUGCAACUUGCUUGCAUGCCUUUAUCCCAUUUUAAUAUGGUUAAAGCAUGCAAUUUUAUCCAUUAAAACAAUAUAAACAUAGUAACAUUCCCUUAAUGGGAGUACAUUUGUUGUCCACAUUUUGUGUCACUUCAUGUUCCAUUAGUUUAUGAUUGAUAAGAAAAAUGUUUAAUAAUUAAAUUUUAACUUAAAUAUAUUUUUUCUGACCAAUCAUAAACUCAUGGUAUAUGGAGUAACACAAAGUAUAGGAUAGCAGAUGUGUACCCUCACUUAACUUUUGAGGACUUUUGGAUGCAUGAGCAGAGCGACCCAUUUUACCCUCUCUAGAUAGAACUCAUCACUUAUUAUUUAGCAAAUGAUUAUAUAAUUGAGUUGGUCUACUAUGUUUAUUUCAACUUUGAUUGGUUUGCGGUUGAGGAAGACAAAUUCUUGCAUACCUUUGUAUAUUUCAAGAAAAAUAAUUCCAAAAUGAUCUUUUUGUGCUACCUUCUGACUAUGUCCAAUACCCUCUUUAUGAAAAUAGGCAUUACGCUUUGCAAGCAUUUCCAAUAGAUUUAUUUAGCAUGUGUGACCAAUCAGAUUUACAGGCUAUAUAAAUAUUUGUUGAUAUUGCAUAUAUAAGUGGACCAUAUAAUGAUGAACUCAAUUGGGUUAGGGAACACAUACCCACAACAGUAUUUGAGUAGCCUUCUCAUGAUGUACAAGUUGAAAAUGAAGAAGAAUCUAAUUUUGAUGAUAAUUUAUUGGACUUUAUGAACUAAAUUCACAGCACUAAGAUCUUAUUAACUUUAUUUGUUAUUACCUGACUGUAUUUUAAUUCAUGACUUAUGUGCAUCUGUGAGUUUUUAUUAUCCGACUAUAUUUUACUUCAUGACUUAUGUCAUUCAUGCCUUACUGUAUUAGUAAUAUAAGAGAAAAAGAUGCUUCAUUCCACUUAAGAAUUUUUUACAAUAAUAGGAUAUCAUCUAUAUUCAUAUUUAAUAAUCAUGUUCUCUUACAUAAAAGUAAUACACAUAAAAUAAUGUAUCUGUAUAAAUUUUUAUAUUAACAAUAUAUAAAUAAUGUACUCCACUUAACAAAGUUAUUAUGCAAUGUCUUAUUGCCUAUAGAGAUUACAUGUGGUGUGAUUUGAUUGGAGAAAAAAUCUUUUUGGCAUAUAGAAUGUUCCUUAUUGCCUUAGUUACUUUCUAUUUGCCUUACUUCACGACUAACAUCAUUUAAUGCCAUGAACAGAAACUGAAGAAGGAACCAAAUAUGAAGAAGAAGAAGAGUAUGAAUGCAACAC